rnacentral:tRNA from 1 species
CCCGUCGCUGGGGCUACAGCCCAGCG